rnacentral:tRNA from 1 species
GCCCCUGUAGCCCAAUUGGAAGAGGUUCCUCGCUUAGAACGAGGAGGUUACUGGUUCAAAUCCAGUCAGGGGCAC